AACGUAGUAUUGUGAAGUGGAGACUAUGUCGAUCUGGCAAAUGUUUAUAUGAAUGGCCAUCUUAGUGAUGGCAUGGAAUGGCCAUUUUCUUUCUUUAUUCACGUGUGUUCGAAGAAACCACUAAGUCUGUAACAUUGAAUUUAUGGUGGAUAACAAUCAUUUGGGUUUCUUCGUCAUCGACGCUGAUAAGAACUUUUUAGUUUACAUAUAUCAACCAGAAUCACGGGAAUCCAUUGGUGGUCAAAAAUUAAUACGCAAUCGGAUUACCACCUCGGUCAAGGGGUGAUCACCAUGUUUCAUGUGCAAUGCCAUCAACGUGGUCAACAUCAACGGCAACCAUUCAUCUAUGAAGAUAAACAACUCGUCUUCUUUGGUACCUUGGAUAGUGCGCUUGGUUACUGCCUAGCAUUACCUGAGAAGGUAUAUCGAAAAUUUUUGAUGUUACAAAAUGUUUUGCUCUCCUAUCAAGAGCACCUGGGCGGCCGGCGGGCGAAAAAUUAUCGCUCAAUCCGGGUAGGUGCAUAAUUGAUAGUGAUCUAAUUUGGUCAUACAUAAUGAUGUCGACAGCAGAGAAGGUUGAGGUUAUAUAAAAAAAACUUUGAAUUAACACAGUUGUUAAAAGUCGAUGAAUAUAAGAAGUAGUAAUGACCUAGAAGUUACUGAUAUUUCACGGGAAGUACGUUGCUUAUAAACUAUUAAUCAAAUACGAUGAAAUCCUUUUGAAAAAAAGGUUGAAGCCCAGAUAUCGAGUUCAAAUUUAUGUUUUGAAGCCGAUACCUUAUUUAUUGCUUUGAUGAAAUCAGUAUAAGUCAGCCUGGUGCCCAUUUUAGUAGGUGAUGUCAUUAUACCUCUCUAAAAUUAUAUAUGUAAAUCCUUGUGCUUAAUGUCAAAAAUUUGGUCACAUGCUUCUCUUGAGGCCAAUUCUUUACCAUUCAAAUCAUUCGUAAUAAACAAGAACAGAUGGUUAUGACUUGGAUCCGAAUUAAUUUUUCGAAUGCACGUGUAUUUGAGUAUAUUUUCCGAAAGCUGAAGUUGUCUCGUGGCGUUCGAAAAUAGGCGGAAAGGUUUCAAUUAGUGUAAAUGGUUCGCAAAAGUUUAAAUAUGUUAUUCUUGAAAACGAAUUUUUACACCACUUUCUAAGUCAUGUCUGUUAGGAUAUGAUUGAAGGAAUAAAAUUUUUGACAAUAAUUUUCUGAAGUGUAAAAUUUCUCACAAAAAAUAUUUUCUUUUUUUGAAGCGGCCAGUUGGUAAAAAAUCAAAUUUUUCACAAUUCUUGUGUUUAUUAUCUUUUUUUAGUUUUCGGACUUCAAAUAAUAAAUGCAGAAUUAUCUUCCUCACCGCCAGACACAUUUUUUUUUGAAACCCUUCUGGAGAUCGGCUACAGGUUCAGGAAGAUCCAAUAUCUUUUUAAAUGAAUUUUUUAUUGCUAAACUAAAUUAAAUUCUGUCCACUCAGAUUCUUUCUAUUAAUUUAGGGAAUGAAGUCCCUAUAUAAAAAUUAAAAAAAAAAUUAUUAUGUAUUGCAAAUGGAUAUAACUCCUCCAAAGUAGAUGCUUGAAAAUCUGCCAACCCAGCUCCCAGUGAGUGCCUUUGUGGCAUGUCUAAAUGGCACUAACAUAAUAAUAAACGUUGCUUGUGUCGAAUAAGAUGUUGUCUUACGCUCUUCUAUUUCCGUGGACUAUUAUUUAAAACAAUAAUAAGCUCAAUUAUAUCGUUGAUUGGAAAGAUAUAUUUCAUCGAAGUAACAAAGAAAUUUGGCAAUGUAGAUUUUCAUAAAAAUUAGCUCAAAAUGACUUAGCAGUACGAUUCAUUAAAGCAAAUCUUUAUUCCUUUCGGCCGCAAUAGUCUAGUAGUUAGUAUUACAUAUUGUCAUUUUGAAGAGGGUUCGAGUCCAUCUAAUAUUAUAGAAAAUUAAGUUUGCUAAUUAUGGUCGGCCCUCGGCAGGAAAUGUCAGCCCCACCGUGUGUAUUUAUGAUAUGAAAUAAAUGCUUCUUAUAAAAACACCAGCCGUUCGGCGGCGACUUAUUAUACACUGUAAGUUUCAAUCAUAAGUUCAAGUGCUUAAUUUCUGGCAAACACUUUAAACUUGCUCUGGUUUCCUCCCAUUUUUCUUUCCCAUUUUUUUAUUUUUCAUUUUUUUACCACUUAAUUUCUCACACCUUACCGGUAGUUUUGCGCCUGACAUGGAUUUAUUACUCAAAACAUUCAUUCUGCAAAUAGCUCCGUGAAGUUCUCAAGCAAAGACUGCAUAAAAUUGGUGGGUCUGGAAAAAUCUUGACAGUAAAGUUGCUGGUCGUAAUCCAGAAUGGUCCUAGUUAGCAAUGAAGAGUUUAUUCUCCAGUAUUUUUCUAUAUUUGCGACUGCUACUUUUAACACAUUUUUUGAAAAGACAAUUCUCCAAUUGUCAGCUGGAAGCUAGUAUAAUACUAACUAAUUUAUGACAUUACUAUUUGGCAGAGAUAAUAAUAUUUCCUAAAACGUGUUCGAACCUUGAAUUUAAUUUCAGCAUCGUUCUAAACGGCGCAUUGCAAUAGAGGAAAUAAAACAUAUCCGGAAUAUACCUAAGUGUGGUUAAUUUUGUAAUUAUUCCAAUUGCAUGAAUGCUGCUACUCAUUGCCAAGACUUGAAGAAUUAGCGAAAUUUAGUUUUUACAUUCUAGUAUAGAACUAGAUCAGAACUAGAACUCUCCCACACUAGUUUAGAUUUCCACUGCUGGUGAGUACUGUCCACGUGCACUCACACAUAAAUACAUUCGUCAGUUUAUGAUUAUAAUUGCGUGAUUUAAUUCUUUGGGAUUUAGAGCAUUGGCCGACUGUCGACAUGUCGUACGUUUACGCAUAACUUAUUGUGCCAACUUUUGUUGUUUUUCUGCUCCACUCAAAUCUUUUAGUAUUGUAAUAUGGAUUAACUUAUUAUCGGCACUAAUGUAGUAUGUAUAGUAGUGUGUAAUGUGAGGGUUUGGAUGGGGUUUGGGUUGUUGUAUAGUAUUAUGGUAAGUUUGUGGCAAGAUUUUAUCCAUCGAUAGAUUAGUAACUUAUUGUGAGACUAUUUUGGGAGUACGGAUUAGCUUCGUGCACAUUGUUAUUUGUUUUGAUUUAGUUCUUGGCUUUUAUGAUUCGAUAAUCGACUUAUUAAGAUUUUGUAAUUUUAUAAGGAGUAUUGAGUUUCUUCGAUUCUCUUGUAUUACUGAAGUUGGUAUUAACUGAGAUUAAACCUUUCCUUGAAGAAAUGGUGAGUUGAAUCGGGCCGCCACUACAGCCAUAUACUUAUUGGUUAUAGGCUAACAAAUUGUAUGAUCGGACCUCUCGAAGAUUUUCUGCCAAAUAUAUUUGAAAUUUAUGUACGCUACGAAUUUUAUUUAAGUCUCAUCACGGGAUAUUUAACGGCAGAACUCAUGAAGAAAUUGAGCUAGAACACUAUGUAGACUGAGAACGAAAGUGGACGCUUUCGAAUUAUUGAAUUAUUAUUUUCGUCCUACCGUAAGACUACUUUUGUUCGUAGUUGCUCAUUUUUGAAACAUGUCUUAAUUAAGUGCUUCGAUGUGUAAAAAAAAAUUAGCUUCGACAGGAGAAAAUUUGAGCAAAAUUUUUUAGGCUACAUAAUAUUUGAAAUUAAUUUGAUGAGUACAUAAUAUGUAGUAUACUGAAAAAAUACUUAAGUGAAUAAACGUGUCGAUAACAAGUUAA